AGGUAAUCCUGUUAGUUUUUAUUGGCAGUCUCCUCUAAGUCUUUGUCCUUAAUAUUUAUGGAAGGAAAUGGUGGAAUUAAAUUUCUUAAAUUAGCAUAAACAUAGGUUUUCAUCCAUUGAAAUGCAUGGCUUCUUUUAGAAUGUGUUUACUAAAUUGUACACUUUGAACUAGCAGAACUGUUUUUAUUAAAAUGAGGACAUGUCAUUGUCCUGUUUUAGUCCUGUACUCUCACUGUUGUACCUAAAAAAUCAGUCUCUUGACACUCACCUAUUCAUUCAGAAAGCUGAUUCAACCCAUUAUAGCAGCAGGAAAAUUGUCCUGGCAGAAUCACAAAAGCUGUUGAAUUUUCAAACAAAUUCUGUAGCUUUUCACAUGAUCUUCCUUGAUAAUACACUUUUUGCUUUUAGUGAGUUGAAUGAUAUGUAAUGUUUUGUUAUAGGAUUCUGUAUAAAAGGUGUUAAUUGGUUAAACAACUGACAACUGAUAAGUGAUAUAUCUUGUGUUGAUGUCAAAUCCCUAAUAAGUGAAACAUUCUCCAGUGUGGUGAUUCCUGCAUCAUAAAAGGAAGGGUGUCAAUGCAGCAAGCGCUGAUCUUUGCAUUUUUCUUUUGCUGUAUAUGCACAAUAUAAAGCAUUCUGGAGUUCUAGGUGUUCUAUAUAAGUAGCUCAUUGGCAGUGGUCUAACUGUAGUGAUGUUUUUGGUUUCUUUUCAGGAGCAAAUUGAGACAGAAGUGAAUGUUAAUUCUCAAACAGAAACUCUUCAGACAACUUCUCUGCAAGCUCCUCAGAAAACACCCAGUACAGAUCUUUCAGAUAUCCCUGCUCUUCCUGCAAAUCCUAUUCCUGUUAUCAAGAAUUCAAUAAAAUUGAGAUUGAACCGGUAAAAACCACCUCAGGGGUCCAUAAACAGUAUCUGCCAACUCAACCUGUUGUCUUCUAAUGCUAGAAAAAAAAGGAGAACGGAGGGUGCAAGACUAGAACAUAAUUGCAAAUGGAUUUAGGUAUAUGUUGUGCACUUCCCUUUCUGGACUAAAGUCGCCGCUUGAUUGGAAGUCCAGGUUAGUAUGUGAAGCCAGGAGUACAAUUAAUGUGUUAGCAACAGUUACAUUAAAUAUUUCGAAGGAUUACUGCCUUUAAAAACAUGAACACUAUUUGUAGCCAUAUUUGACAUUGAUUGAAUUUGUUUGAUGCAUUGUUUCAAAAUUGAGAUAAAACUGGCAUGAGAAUCCCUUAAAUGCACUUUUAUGUACUUUUUUAUUGGAGUAUGACUAAUUUUAGAUCUUUAGCUGAUAAAAUUUCCUUUUAUUGAAGAGUCUCUUCAAUAGUAGUAAUUUGCAAAUUGGAUGACAUUCUAUGAUAUACUAUACAUUGAAAACAAAGUGUAUAGUAUGUUUAGUUCAACUGCCAUCAAGCAGCAGUAAGUCUUUAAAAUGUUAUGUCAAUCUUGGGGUCAUAAGAUGUAAGUUGAGGAAGUAAUUGAGAGGUUUUGGUAUUGGUGGGACAUGAUUAAGAUGUGGUCUGCUUUUAUUUAUAGGAUUGUUUUAAGGUGCAUACAAAUCAGCAAUCAAACAGCAAAUUUUCUUUUGAGCUAAUUGAACUCCUUAGUCCCUUUUUAUCCCUUCAUUUCUUGGGAAAAGCUUUUGCAUUCAGUAUUGGGUUUUUGGUUUUUUUAAAAUUAUUUUUUCAGCUUGUAUGCACCAUAUAGAACAGUAGUUAUUUAUACAAAAUAAAAACAAGCCAUUUACUCAUUCGGGUUCCCCCCUGCCCCUUACCUAGUUGUAAUACCUUGUGGCCUCUAGGCACAAAUUCAAAAUUUGUCCCAUGACUAAAGUGUAUAGGUAAAUAUUGUGUGCCUGUGAAAUACACCACCUGUCUUGAUGGCCUUUGAAUCACUAAAUAUGAUUUUUGUACACUCCAUAAAGGUCCUGUAUGCAUUAAAAAGAUUAAAAUUUUAAAUAAAGGCAAAAAGAUUUUUCCCUAAGAAUUUUAACCUUUUUUAUUUUUAGAUAGUUCAUCACAAGCAGUUUUACAUACUGAACAACACCAAAUUUUUAAAAAUCAUAUUUCUAGUAAGCACUUGACAUCUAGUAAGCUCUCUUACUCCUAUUUUUUGUUCUUGUAGUCCUAUUAAAAAAGUAACAACUUUUUCUUUUGAAAGAACUGAAGCUCUCAUGGCAAAGAACAACAGUAUUUGAGGAACAUGAGGGAUACCAACAGUAAUACCAGAUGUAGAUAACAAACUUAUGUUACUAUUACUUAAGUCUGAAAUAUGUGGGAUGUCAAAUCAUACUUCCCAUACUUUGAUUAGCAUGUUUUAUGAACUCCCUUCUCCCAUUGUGCUCCAUCCUAUUACACAUGCAUCUUUCAUGUUACAAGUUAAAUUACUUACACUCUUCCCCUUAUCCUUCUAAAUUAAUUCUCCAAAGUCAGAGUGUAGCUUAUCUUUUACUUAGGCUGUGCAGUAACUGAAGGGUUUUUUUUUUUUUGCCAUUUGUCUAAGAUGUCUAGUAUACAAUAUUUCUCUUUUCCUUGCCCUGUGCAGCCUGCAGUCGUCCACCCCCAAAGAAGGUUAUAUCUUAACAGUUGAAGUGUACAAGCUGUCUGUGUAUUUUGUGUAGCUAUGGAGUUUAGAUCGAAAUUGCCAGGCACAAAUUUAGUCUUGUCAUUUUGUUUACACAUCGGAAAAUCUUUUUCAUUUUAUUAAACGUUUCAUGUAACUGCACCCAAGUUUUGCCAAGCUGGAAACUUGGAACCUUUCUGUAUAGUGACUUUUUAAUUCUAGUUUUCAUAACCUGGAGAUCAGACUGUUGCUUUCGCAUGAUGUACGUAGUGUCUCAUGACUGGAGUUUGCUUUGUUUUAUAGUAUCUGUACUCCUUGUAUUUUUCAAGAGCUAUUUUGUAAACAGAUGAUGUAUUUCUCCAUUGAAAACACAAUAAAAAACAGCACAAUCCCA